rnacentral:rRNA from 1 species
UACGAAGGGGGCUAGCGUUGCUCGGAAUCACUGGGCGUAAAGCGCACGUAGGCGGAUCUUUAAGUCAGGGGUGAAAUCCCGGAGCUCAACUCCGGAACUGCCUUUGAUACUGGAGGUCUCGAGUCCGGGAGAGGUGAGUGGAACUGCGAGUGUAGAGGUGAAAUUCGUAGAUAUGACAUAGAACACCCAUUGCGAAGGCAGCUAACUACACGAUCAUUGACACUGAGGCACGAAAGCGUGGGGAGCAAACAGG